GCCGGCGUAGCUCAGCGGUAGAGCAACUGAUUCGUAAUCAGUAGGUUGUCGGUUCAAAUCCGACCGUCGGCUCCA
rnacentral:tRNA from 1 species